CCAAUAGAUAGUGUUAUAGAAAAUAGAUUUUUUCGAAGAGGAGUAACCAUUUAGUUUAGAAUUAAUACCUCCAAAGCACAAUGAAUGAUUUCUUCAUUUAAAUGUCGCCGCCUUUUGAUUUAAAAGGAAUAAAAUAUUUCACAUUUUAAUAAUUAAUAAUUCUUCAAAGCUCUAUAAUUAUAAGGUAAAUUUUCUGUCUUACCCUAACUAAACAAUAUAAUCAACGUUGUUAAACGUUGUCGUGUCUUCCGAUUUUUUGUAAAUUUCGUUACAUUAGUGAUCAAAUAAAAGCGCAACCAACAUAACAAUUCUCACAGAGUGUCCAGUUGAAUAGUUCAUGAUAAUGUUGUGAAUUUGGAGGAUUUAUUUUUCUUAAUCGUUGCCAAUGAAAAUCUGUGUAGCAAAAUGGAAGUUAUAAAAUUAAAUAAAAAACUUUUGAAAGUGUUUGGAAUGUGUUUAAACGAUGAAAAUGCCACACAACGAGAGCGAACUAUCAGCAAAAUAAUCAACUGGAUGAUGCUAUCGAUUUCACUAUGUACAAUUGGUGUCAGCAUAGAAUAUAUCGUUUCGCAUUUUUCGGAUACUGAAAGUGUUCUAUUCGCUGUAAUGCAAGUGUCUGCCAACACGGCAUCGGGCGGAGGCUAUUGGACAUUUUACAAUAAUAAAUACAAAGUAUCGAAAUUCCUGAAUCAAAUUGAAAAUUUGGUUAAAUUACGCACGUAUUUGUCAAAAUCACGAAUCAAGAGUUUUAUACGAAAAGGCGGAAGUGAAAUCCACUUUUGUUGCAAAGUGGCCUCUUAUUGUUUUCAUUGUGAACUACGAUUUUGUGUUGAUUUUUGCCACAACAUAUACGGUGAUAUUCGAAAUGAUUCCCGGCCGAAGUGAUCCAGCCACAUGGUACUCAAUGUAUAAAUUGAGCUAUCCAUUUGAUGUUCACACUUUGCAUGGAUAUUUUGGUUACUUAAUUAUGGUGAUCAUAGCAUUACACACUUAUGCGAUUUUGAUAACAAGUCAAGUGGCUUUUUUCCUCGGUUCAUCAUUUUAUCUGGAUGCUUUUACUGAAAAUUUCGACAAAUUAAUGCGCCAAUUAAAUCAAAUCGAACAAAAACCAAAACAAUCAAUAAACACUGUAAAAGAGCGCCUAUUUGAUGGAGUUAAAUUCAACAUUCAAAUUAUUGAGUUUGUAUUUUCGUUGAAUAUUUGGCACACACCAUAAAAUGUAGAUUUUUUUUGCAGACUUUUUCAUCAACUGAGUAGUAUUGUGACGGGAAUUAUAUUUUUCCAACUUUUAUGUGGCGCCGUAUUUUGUUCAACAUCGAUAUAUCAACUGGAUUUGGCUUCUAAACAUAUCAAUCCGGAUUUUUUCAUUUUGAUAUUUGCAUCGACUGUGAGCAUUGCAACAACAUUGCCUUACUGCUACUAUUCGGCGCACAUUUCAUUGCGGUUACAGUCGAUUGGCGAUAGUGCUUAUCAUACUUUCAUUUGGUAUGAAUUUCCAUGUCACAUACAAAGAGACCUCCCAUUAAUCAUACAGAACUCAGAGCGUCCAAAGUUUUUUUCUGGAUAUGGAUUUAUUAACUGCUCGUUAGAAACAUUUAAGAAGAUCUUGAAUACAGCCGGUUCAUAUUAUAUUAUGUUCAAAACUGUUAUGAAACGUUGAAACUCAUACCAACUGCACACAUUCUGUAAUUGAAUAGUGUUUUCAAAGCAAGUACUUUAACAAAAAUUCAAAUUUACCGGCCCAAAAAGUAAAGGCGUUUGCUGUUAUUACUAAUCAAUUGCUCAGGACUGGAAUAAAUAAUUCGGAAUUAGUUUUUUUUUGUUUUAUUGGUAAUUACCUAUUACUAGC